UACGGAGGGGGCGAGCGUUAUUCGGAAUUACUGGGCGUAAAGCGCGCGCAGGUGGCGUGGCAAGUGGCGGGUGAAAGCCCUCGGCUCAACCGAGGAAUUGCUUGCCAAACUACCGCGCUUGAGGCCGGGAGGGGGAAGCGGAAUUCCUGGUGUAGCGGUGAAAUGCGUAGAUACCAGGAGGAACACCGGUGGCGAAGGCGGCUUCCUGGACCGGUUCUGACACUCAUGCGCGAAAGCGUGGGGAGCAAACGGG
rnacentral:rRNA from 1 species